rnacentral:rRNA from 1 species
GAUGAACGCUGGCGGCAUGCCUUACACAUGCAAGUCGAACGGCAGCAUGGAAGAGCUUGCUCUUCUGAUGGCGAGUGGCGAACGGGUGAGUAAAGCAUCGGAACGUACCGUGUAGUGGGGGAUAACGUAGCGAAAGUUACGCUAAUACCGCAUACGCACUGAGGUGGAAAGCAGGGGAUCGCAAGACCUUGCGCUAUACGAGCGGCCGAUGUCAGAUUAGCUAGUUGGUAGGGUAAAGGCCUACCAAGGCGACGAUCUGUAGCGGGUCUGAGAGGAUGAGCCGACACCCUGGGGCUGAGACACGGCCCAGACUCCUACGGGGGGCAGCAGUGGGGAAUUUUGGACAAUGGGCGAAAGCCUGAUCCAGCCAUGCCGCGUGAGUGAAGAAGGCCUUCGGGUUGUAAAGCUCUUUCGGCUGGGAAAAGAUCGCACAGGCUAAUACUCUGUGUGGAUGACGGUACCAGCACAAGAAGCACCGGCUAACUACGUGCCAGCCGCCGCGGUAA